CAGUCGCCGCGGGAAUACAGAGGGUGCGAGCGUUAAUCGGAUUUACUGGGCGUAAAGCGUGCGUAGGCGGCUUCUUAAGUCGGAUGUGAAAUCCCUGAGCUUAACUUAGGAAUUGCAUUCGAUACUGGGAAGCUAGAGUAUGGGAGAGGAUGGUAGAAUUCCAGGUGUAGCGGUGAAAUGCGUAGAGAUCUGGAGGAAUACCGAUGGCGAAGGCAGCCAUCUGGCCUAAUACUGACGCUGAGGUACGAAAGCAUGGGGAGCAAACAGGAUUAGAUACCCCCGUAGUCACUGUCUCUUAUAC
rnacentral:rRNA from 1 species